UAUUAGCAAAAAUGCGCGUUAGCGAUUGAAACGGCAUCCUUUUUUCUUUUUCAGAAAAAAGAUAUAGUGUAAAGCGCGACCUGAA
rnacentral:sRNA from 1 species